UACGUAGGUGGCAAGCGUUGUCCGGAAUUAUUGGGCGUAAAGCGCGCGCAGGCGGUCCUUUAAGUCUGAUGUGAAAGCCCACGGCUCAACCGUGGAGGGUCAUUGGAAACUGGGGGACUUGAGUACAGAAGAGAAGAGUGGAAUUCCACGUGUAGCGGUGAAAUGCGUAGAGAUGUGGAGGAACACCAGUGGCGAAGGCGACUCUUUGGUCUGUAACUGACGCUGAAGCACGAAAGCGUGGGGAGCAAACAGG
rnacentral:rRNA from 1 species